rnacentral:rRNA from 1 species
CAGUCGCCACGGUAAUACGUAGGGUGCAAGCGUUAAUCGGAAUUACUGGGCGUAAAGCGUGCGCAGGCGGUUAUAUAAGUCAGAUGUGAAAUCCCCGGGCUCAACCUGGGAACUGCAUUUGAGACUGUAUGGCUAGAGUGUGUCAGAGGGGGGUAGAAUUCCACGUGUAGCAGUGAAAUGCGUAGAUAUGUGGAGGAAUACCGAUGGCGAAGGCAGCCCCCUGGGAUAACACUGACGCUCAUGCACGAAAGCGUGGGGAGCAAACAGGAUUAGAUACCCGUGUAGUCCCUGUCUCUUAUAC